UUGCUCAAGUGACGUGAAUCGGCGUUUGCACACAGAUACUGCAGAAAGCGUAGGCUGUCUUUUAGGGUAUGACCACACAAUCGGGUAGUGUCGCUAUCUGAAGAAGAUCUCUGGAAAUCUCGAAGUCCUUUGUAGCAUGUGAAACGACACAUUUCUCGUCCUCCUGGUUUGCCGCAUUCUCCGGGUUUUGCGAGGACUUUCGCUGUAAUCCAGUUAUUUGUGCUACUAGAAUUCAGUUCGUGCGAGAUCCUACCGAUGUACGCCUCGCCGUAAUGGAAGAAUCGAGACCCAAAGAUGGCGGAGUCAGAUGCCAAUUGUAGUUUCUGCCUUUCGCUUUUUGACUAUUGGCCGAUGCCGUGUGACCUGUGGCAUGAUCAUCUCUACUGCAGUAAUGCUAGUGGUGGGCUCUUGAUGUGCUUCUUAUAGCUGCUGGCACUGGAAACAGUCAUACAAGGGAGACUGAUGCAAAUGUUGAAUGGCACACUUCUUGCACAUUAAAUGGUUGCAUUGGAGUUCAACUGGGAUGUUGACAACUUUUCACACAGGGUGCACUUGAACGAGUCAAACAGGGCUUCUGGUGCUGCUGUUUCUAUUUGUUGGAUUAGGUCAGUCAAUUUGAUUGCUGACUGACCUGUGAGAACAAGCUGAUUCUUUUUUCAAUAUUUGGGUGGUCUUCCUUCUUUCUUCUGUUGCUGACAACUACAGCAGGUGUUGCAGUUUUCUGAGUGUACCAUCCACUCUCUGCAGAAAGGUACAAGAAUAGAGGCUCCUUGCCUCUUUGUAAAUCAAUGCAUCACUAGAUGGCAGCAGACACAGAAAUUGACAUUUGUACUGACAUCCUCUCGAUUGAACCUGGGGGCACAUAACCUGCGAAGCUCUCGUACGGAAAGGAUGUGAUGUGCCAUAUCCAUAGACUAGACUGACAACACUUGUAUACUGGUUAACUGUUUCUGUAUACGUCUUAAGUAGUGUAUGGAGUAAGGAAAGGGCAUGAGAGAAUGAUGAGGUAAAGAACUGCUACACGUGUACCAUUCAAAUUCAAGGAACCAGUGUUGGUACACCAGUGUUGGUACACCAUUAGCAAGUUUUUGUGGCAAAGUUUAUUUUACCAUAGAUAUGAUUUUACUUACAUCCCAAGUUGCUAAGAAUAAUAUCUCUAGGCACGUGACCUAGGCCAUCUUGUCAUAUUCUAGUGCUAUUUUAGUAUAAAAUGACCAUGCUUCUGUUCUUGUGUCACCA